rnacentral:rRNA from 1 species
AAUACGUUCCCGGACCUUGUACACACCGCCCGUCAAGCCAUGGAAGCUGGGGUGACCUGAAGUCGGCAGGUUCAGUGCCGAUAAGGGUAAAACCGGUGACUGGGGCU